GUGAAAGUAAGGGAAUGAGAAUUAGGACAGGGAGAUGGAAUGAAGGGAUGAGAGAUUGAGGACAAAGACUUGAGGGAGUGAGCAUGAGGUAUUAAAGGAAAGAAUAAAGAGAGAUGGUGAGAUAGAAAGGGUGAGAGUCAGGGAUUGAAAGAUUGAUGAGAGGAACGCGGAAGAGUGUGAAAGGAUGAGUGAACGUUCAGUGAUUUUGAAAUAGGUGUGUUUUACGUACACCAAAUACCUGUAUGCUGUACUAAUUAUAAUUGUACCUACAUUUUAUGCUCUCGCUCCAUUUCUUGUUAAUUUCUCUAUUAAUCCACACUGUGUAACCGCUGACAACCUAGAAACUUAACCCAUUUUCUAUUUGUUGUCCUUACAGGAAGGGCCUUAUAUGGAACUUGUCUGACUUCGGAGUAAUUCUAAGUGGGAGGAGAGGUUUUGUUUAGGCACUUUGACACCCUAUGUCUGAAUUAAACCCAUAUUAUGAUCGUCAGAAUUGAAUGAAAUUAAAUUCUUAGAGGUACUGAUUUUUUGCUUCCAUGUGAUUUUAGGUGACACAUGUUUGCAAUGUAAGUAAUAACUCAGAGGAAGAUUGUGUGAGUUGAGUUCAAUGGGUAGAAAUCAACCUCUACCUCCUUCCGCAACAACCCAAUUUAAUUAUGCCAGCUAAUUUAUUUGUGCCAUGCAGUUGUAUAAAUGUUGAAAGUUGAGGCUGUCCAAACGAAGCUCCAAGGUGCAAUUUAAGAGACUCCCAGUCCCAGGCCUCCGCUUUUCCAGCAUCCUCUGCUUCCUUGUCACCUAAUGAGCUCAACCAAUCAGCAAUCUGGGUUCAGAUGCCUUUGAAGGCAUGACAACAGAGCUUGAGGUCACUGAGGCGGAAAAGUAGAAAGAAAUGGAGAACAGAUCAACUAUAAGCUCUCACACACACACACGCACAAGAAGUGUAUUGGUGUGUGGAGAAGGACAGAACAAUGGUUCUUCAAUCAAUCAAAUUUGAUGUGUAUAUUUAUUUUUGCAAAUAAUCUGAGCCUAUAGAUUCCCAACAAGCAAGCAGAGGCGACAGUGGCAAGGAAAAACCUGCAGAGGCACCAGGCUAGAGAGGCAGUCCAUCUUCUUCUGGCUUGCCAAGGCAAGGGGUUCUUACAAGCACAUUGGCCAAGUUUCCAACAGAUCACCAUCUUGGGCAUUAUGGGUAAUGUAGUCCUGAUCCUGUCUUUAAUAAAGAACCAGAUCUCCCAUCUGAAAACCUUUGAGGUGUUUCUCCUGAGCCUUGCUGCCUCCAACCUGUAAGAGCUCCUUGUCGUAAACAUUUGCAACGUCAUCAUGUUCUGUGUCUGUCCUCACCCCCUUGUCCUGCCGGACGCUCAAGUUCCUCAUGGUGAGAGUAAAGUAGAGUACAGUAUAUGUAGCAGCGGAUGGCUAAAGUGCUACUGCCUUCCCAAGACCUACAAGUACUGUCACCCUGGAUCUCGAAAUUGCUUUUCUGGCUCAGUGGUAGGCUUUUGACAGUGCUUUUUGUUGUGUUACAGUGUGGAGAGUUAUAUGAGUUUGUGCUCUUGGCAGGCGGAAUUUACACAGUCUCAUAAGUACAAAUGUACUUAUAAAUCAUUCCUGUCAGAAACAAGUUGACAGCAGCUGAGAUAAUUGUAUAAUGUGAUAAUGUAUUAAUCUAUUUAUUUGGAAUGUAGGUGUUAGGUGAAAUCGGCAGCAUCCUCUUCACAUUCCUCAUCAGCAUCUUCUGGUACCAGACAACAUCUGGUUGGCCUGGGCUGUGAGUGGGCUGUGUGUGAUGCUAGCCAUGUUCCUGGGAGCUCCUACCUAUCUCAUGAACGUAGAUGGUCAUAUGGAUAACUAUACGCAAGACUGAGGCUGCCCUCCAGACUUCAUCCAGUGGCCCAAGGAGAACUGCCCGACCAUUAACUGUGUCUUCAGGUGCUGCUGGUUCAGUGGAGGGUGGUGGUGCCAGCGCUGAGUGCAGCAGGGGCGCCAGUGGAGCAGCCUCCCAGGAAGAAGGUCUCUACCUGGGGAUCGAAAGGAACACAGUGGGCAUCCUGGCUGCCAUGGGGGUGUUCCAGGUGGAAUGGAUCCUUCAGUCCCUACGACUUCCCCUUUUGGACCGAGGUGGAGUUCUUCAUCACAACGUCCUAUAUCACAAUCAGCCCUUAUGUGUAUGGGAUAGGGAGUAACCUGUUUUCUGUGAAACACUUUAAGAAGUAAUGGAAGAAAUACAUUUUAGGCCUUAGGUGUCAGGUGUACGCAAUUUUCUGUGCAGUAUGAUUAUGGGAUAAGGGAAUAACCUCUUCUCUGAAACAUGUAAUGAAGUAAUUGUGGUAUAUUUAUAAACCCUCUGUGUUAGAUGUAGGUGAUUCUCUAUUUUCUAUUAAGUAAUUUUAAGAAGUCAAAGCACGGUUUUUAGACGUAAACCACCGGUCAAAAGUUUUUGAAAUCCUACUCAUUCCAGGGUUUUUCUUUAUCUUUUACUAUUUUCUACAUUGUGGAAUAAUAGCGAAGACAUCAAAACUAUUAAAUAAAACAUAUGGAAUAAUGUAGUAACCAAAAGUGUUAAACGAAUCAAAAUAUAUUUUAUAUUUCAGAUUCUUCAAAUAGCCACCCUUUGCCUUGAUGAAAGCUUUGCAAACUCUUGGCAUUCUCAACCAGCUUCAUGAGGUAGUUACAUGGAAUGUAUUUCAAUUAACAGGUGUGCCUUAAAAGUGAAUUUGUGAAAUGUAUUUCGUUCUUAAUGCAUUUGAUCAGUUGUGUUGUGACAAGGUAGGGGUGGUAUACAGAAGAUAACCCUAUUUGGUAAAAGACCAAGUCCAUAAUAUUGCAAGAACAGCUGAAAUAAGCAGAGAAACGACAGUCCAUUAAUUUAAGACAUGAAGAUCAGUCAAUCGGGAAACUUUCAAGAACUUUUAAAAUGUCUUAAAGUGCAUUUGCAAAAAUCAUCAAGCGUUUUGAUGAAACUGGCUCUCACGAGGACCGCCACAGGAAAGGAAGACCCAGAGUUACCUCUGGCUGCAGAGGAUAAGUUCAUUAGAGUUACCAGCCUCAGAAAUGGCAGCCCAAAUAAAUGGUUUGCAGAGUUCAAGUAACAGACACAUCUCAACAUCAACUGUUCAGAGGAGACUGCAUGAAUCAGGCCUCCAUGGUCGAAUUGCUGCAAAGAAACUAAAGGACACCAAUAACAAGAAAAUACUUGCUUGGGUCAAGAAACACGAGCAAUGGACAUUAGACCAGUGGAAAUCUGUCUUUUGGUCUGAUGAGUCCAAAUUCGAGAUUUUUGGUUCAAACCGCUGUGUCUUUUGAGACGCAGAGUGAACGGAUGAUCUCCGAAUGUGUGAAUCAUGAAGGUCAUCCCAUCUGGUUUGCGCUUAGUGGGACUAACAUUUUUUCCCCAAAAGAACAAUGACCCAAAACAAACAUCCGGGGUGUGUAAGGGCUAUUUGACCAAGAAGGAGAGUGAUGGAGUGCUGCAUCAGAUGACCUGGCCUCCACAAUCAUCUGACCUCAACCCAAUUGAAAUGGUUUGGGAUGAGUUGGACUGCAGAGUGAAGGAAAAGCAGCAAACAAGUGCUCAGCAUAUGUGGGAACUCCUUCAAGACUGCUGGAAAAGCAUUCCUCAUGAAGUUGGUUGAGAGAAUGCCAAGAGUGUGCAAAGCUGUCAUCAAGGCAAAGGGUGGCUACUUUGAAGAAUCUAAAAUAUAUUUUGAUUUGUUUAACACAUUUUUUUUUACUACAUGAUUCCAUGUGUUAUUUCUUAGUUUUGAUGUCUUCACUAUUCUUCUACAAUGUAGAAAAUAAAUUAAAACCCUUGAAUGAGUAGGUGUGUCCAAACUUUUGACUGGUAGUGUGUGUGUGUGUGUGUGUGUGUGUGUGUGUGUGUGUGUGUGUGUGUGUGUGUGUGUGUGUGUGUGUGUGUGUGUGUGUGUGUGUGUGUGUGUGUGUGUGUGUGUGUGUGUGUGUGUGUGUGUGUAUA